rnacentral:lncRNA from 1 species
CUUUUUCCAUGUGUAGGAACUUGCAAGGAUGGCAGGAGGCUACAGAGAGCAGACUUGAAACCCUGUGAAAAGAAGAAAUAAGCAAAGCAAGAGGAUAAGCCCUGGGAGAACAGCGUGCUUCCCAGUGUCUGCCUCGUCCUGCACAGUAAGAGCCAGGUCAACUUCAGGAAAUAAGCAAGGCCUCUAAAAGGAAGCACGACCAGAAAAUACAGCACAACUAGGAGCAUAUGGAAGGGAUCCAAGAAGUGGAGACCAUCAUUCGGUAAUAGAAUCUGCUUUGGAGAUGAGAGAGCCUAGAAGGAUGCCCAAUGCCCAGGAAAUGAAUACCCGCCUCAGGGCCACAGCCAUAAUGGGACAAAGUGCUCAGUACAGCACCUGAUUCAGAUGAACACCCACAGAGUCACCACCGUCACUGUUACUCACCCGAG